CCUACGGGUGGCUGCAGUAAGGAAUAUUGGACAAUGGCCGCAAGGCUGAUCCAGCCAUGCCGCGUGCAGGAAGAAGGCCCUAUGGGUCGUAAACUGCUUUUGAACGGGAGAAAACCCUUGCUCGUGAGCGAGGCUGAUAGUACCGUUAGAAUAAGCAUCGGCUAACUGCGUGCCAGCAGCCGCGGUAAGACGAAGGAUGCAAGCGUCAUUCGGAUUCAUGGGGGUGUAAGGGGGCUUGUAAGUACGUGGUGAAAUCUGUGGGCUUAACCCACCAACUGCCAUUGAUACUGCAGGUCUAGAGUACAGUUGCCGUUGGCGGAAUAUGACAUGUAGUGGUGAAAUACUUAGAUAUGUCAUAGAACACCGAUUGCGAAGGCAGCUAACGAAGCUGUAACUGACGCUGAGGCUCGAAAGUGCGGGGAUCAAACAGGAUUAGAUACCCCAGUAGUC
rnacentral:rRNA from 1 species